AGCGAACGCUGGCGGCAGGCCUAACACAUGCAAGUCGAACGAACCCUUCGGGGUUAGUGGCGGACGGGUGAGUAACACGUGGGAACGUACCUUUAGGUUCGGAACAACACAGGGAAACUUGUGCUAAUGCCGAAUGUGCCCUUCGGGGGAAAGGAUUUAUCGCCUUUAGAGCGGCCCGCGUCUGAUUAGCUUGUUGGUGAGGUAAAGGCUCACCAAGGCUUCGAUCAGUAGCUGGUCUGAGAGGAUGAUCAGCCACACUGGGACUGAGACACGGCCCAGACUCCUACGGGAGGCAGCAGUGGGGAAUCUUGCGCAAUGGGCGAAAGCCUGACGCAGCCAUGCCGCGUGAAUGAUGAAGGUCUUAGGAUUGUAAAAUUACUUUCACCGGGGAAGAUAAUGACGGUACCCGGAGAAGAAGACCCGGCUAACUUCGUG
rnacentral:rRNA from 1 species